CAUGAUAUGAUCCAUGUGGAUGCUGUCCAUUGAGGAAAGAGUUUGUUCAGCGGUUUCUGGAUAUAAUUAAUUCCAAAGAUGGGAAAAAGUGCACAUCCAGACAAGGAGCAAGCAAAAAGACAAGGAACUUGGUGCAGAGAAAAGCUGUGGCCAUUAACCCCCAUGUGAACAGCUUCAUGCAGUCCCUGAUUGAGUUCGAAUGGACGACUUCAAAGUAAAGGCCACUGUGGUCUGUCUGCCACAGUUUAAUGCAUUUAUUUUUAGUGUUAAAUGAAAUUCAAGUAGAAUAUUUAAAACUAUGGGCCAGUGUUCUUUUUACCACAGUGAAAUGUUACCUUUUAGUCGAUGAUGGACUUUAAACUGAAAACUUCAAACUAUGGAAGAGUGUUCUAUUUGCCAGAGUUAAAUAUGUUACAGCAGGGGUCUCCAAACUUGUUUAUACUUGUUGAUUUUAUUUUAUGUUACUUGAUUAUAUGUUUAUUAUUGUUUAAAAUCUUGUUUUAAAUAUGUUUUGUUUCGAUUAAAUGUUUUUUAAAUAAAAUUUUGAUACAAACA